GUUUUUUAAAGAAGUGGUGCCGUAUUCAGAGCAGGAUGUUUGAGACACAACAGAUGGGCUUGUGAUCAGGCUAGAUUGCCAUUUAUCAAGUUUAGAGUAAACUCAGUGGAUCCACAGCACCUAACCCAGUUCUCGAAGAAGUAGAAGCUCAAGAAAUGCUGAUCAGAAGAAAGAAUGAAUCAUAAACCACUAACGGCUGGAACUCUAUUGAUGCCUUGGGGAAAGGAGAAAAUUUAAAUGAGUUGGAGAAUAUUUAUGUGUCAGAUGUACUACAGACGAGACAACACUGCCACAAAGAAAGUGUAUGGUGGCACGAGGAGAAGACACAGGAAGGGCCCUUUUCCCUGUCUUGGAAGUCAAAGAGACCUUUCGGAAGAAACGAUAUCUAUGAGCUGAAGGAAUUAUGUCUGGUGAUACAGGACACAGGUGAAGGAAGAAAGAGAGAGCAUGGUAAGUACGAGGAAUGAAAAGGGCGUGUAGGGAACAAGGAAGUAUGCGAUGGGGUGGCAAUGGGAAAUGAGGAGUUGACAAUCAAUACAUAAACAGGAAUCAGACCGGGAUGAUUAGAAGAAGCCUAGCUAAGGGCUUUGGACUUUCACCUGAGGGUAAGGGGGGACUUAGAAAGGCAACAUAAAUAGAUUUCAGGAAGUACAGGGUGAAAAGUGAAUUGGGGUAGAGCUCGGAGUUGGGAAUGGAGCUGAGUAAGGCAGGAAAAGGCAUGAAGCAUGGG
rnacentral:lncRNA from 1 species